rnacentral:tRNA from 1 species
GUUCUUGUAGCUUAUAAAUUAUAAAGUGGAGGGCUUUUAACCCUUAGAAGCAGUUUUCUGUCGAGAAUA